UGGCUUUGUUCUAAGUCAAACUUCUCUAACUUUGAACAAGUUUCUAGAGAAAUGUAUUAGAAUCCAUGAGUUCACUAAAUGCAAAACAUAUUUAUGGAGAAUCUAAUUAAACUAAUCUGAUGUCGUAAAUGUUGAUGCGUUUUCUAUAAACUUGGUCAAAGAUACAGAAGUUUGACUUAAGCCAAACCAAA
rnacentral:pre_miRNA from 1 species